GACGAACGCUGGCGGCGUGCCUAAUACAUGCCAGUAGAACGCUGAAGGAGGAGCUUGCUCUUCUGGAUGAGUUGCGAACGGGUGAGUAACGCGUAGGUAACCUGCCUGGUAGCGGGGGAUAACUAUUGGAAACGAUAGCUAAUACCGCAUAAUAGUAGAUGUUGCAUGAUAUUUACUUAAAAGGUGCAAUUGCACCACUACCAGAUGGACCUGCGUUGUAUUAGCUAGUUGGUGGGGUAACGGCUCACCAAGGCGACGAUACAUAGCCGACCUGAGAGGGUGAUCGGCCACACUGGGACUGAGACACGGCCCAGACUCCUACGGGAGGCAGCAGUAGGGAAUCUUCGGCAAUGGACGAAAGUCUGACCGAGCAACGCCGCGUGAGUGAAGAAGGUUUUCGGAUCGUAAAGCUCUGUUGUAAGAGAAGAACGAGUGUGAGAGUGGAAAGUUCACACUGUGACGGUAUCUUACCAGAAAGGGACGGCUAACUACGUG
rnacentral:rRNA from 1 species